rnacentral:lncRNA from 1 species
UUUGUUAUUUAUUUUUGUAUAUGGUUUGAUUGUUGCGAUGGAAGUAAUAAGGUUGCAGGAAGGUCUUGCAAGUUGCAAUGGUGAGGGAGACAUGUUUAUUAUUUAGUGUGGGAGGGUGUAUGAUAAUCAUAUAUAGUCAAUUUUUAUCAACGGUAGAUGAUGGAUAUGACAAGGGACAAAUUUGAAAUGUUAGCCACGUGGCAUUUUUAAACGGAGUUAACUUGUAAUUUAACAGAAAGGACCAACUAAUGGUAACGGAGGAAACGUAAGGGACCAAAUUGACACGUUUUAAACGUAAGGGACCAAAUUGAAACCUAAAAUAAACGUAAG